UAGCCUAGUGGUUAAGGCUAUGGAUCGCCAAUCCGGAGACGGCGGGUUCGACUCCCGU
rfam:Aedes albopictus isolate Foshan contig38308, whole genome shotgun sequence.